rfam:Camelus ferus unplaced genomic scaffold scaffold16133, whole genome shotgun sequence.
GAGGGUACAGCUCAGGGGUAGAGUGCAUGCUUAGCAUACACAAGGUCCUGGGUUCAAUCCCCAGUACCUCCA